AAUGACUCUCGGCAACGGAUAUCUCGGCUCUCGCAUCGAUGAAGAACGCAGCGAAAUGCGAUACUUGGUGUGAAUUGCAGGAUCCCGCGAACCGUCGAGUCUUUGAACGCAAGUUGCGCCCAAAGCCUUUCGGCUGAGGGCACGUCUGCCUGGGUGUCACUC
rnacentral:rRNA from 1 species